rnacentral:rRNA from 1 species
CCCUUAGAUGUUCUGGGCCGCACGCGCGCUACACUGAUGAACGCAACGAGACCACCUGUACCGAAAGGCAUGGGUAAACUUGUGAAAGUUCAUCGUGAUGGGGAUAGAUUAUUGCAAUUAUUAAUCUUCAACGAGGAAUUCCUAGUAAGCGCGAGUCAUCAGCUCGCGUUGAUUACGUCCCUGCCCUUUGUACACACCGCCCGUCGCUCCUACCGAUUGAAUGGUCCGGUGAAAUCUUCGGAUUGCUGGAUAGGACUUCAUUGACCUAUCUGCGAGAAGUUGCUUGAACCUUAUCAUUUAGAGGAAGGAGAANUCGUANCA